rnacentral:rRNA from 1 species
UAAGGAAUAUUGCUCAAUGGGAGAAAUCCUGAAGCAGCAACGCCGCGUGGAGGAUGAAGGGUCUAUGACUUGUAAACUCCUGUAAAGAAGGAAAAAAUUCCCAUUAGAUGGGAGAUGAUGGUACUUCUGGAGUAAGCCCCGGCUAACUACGUGCCAGCAGCCGCGGUAAUACGUAGGGGGCAAGCGUUGUCCGGAUUUACUGGGUGUAAAGGGUGCUCAGGCGGAUUUGUAAGUCAGAGGUGAAAUCUUACAGCUUAACUGUGAAACUGCCUUUGAUACUGCAAGCCUAGAGUAUGGAAGAGAGUUAUUGAAUAUCUGGUGUAGCAGUGAAAUGCGUAGAUAUCAGAUAGAACACCAAUGGCGAAGGCAGUCACUUGGUCCAUUACUGACGCUAAAGCACGAAAGCGUGGGUAGCAAACA